rnacentral:rRNA from 1 species
AUUGAACGCUGGCGGCAUGCCUUACACAUGCAAGUCGAACGGCAGCACGGGAGCAAUCCUGGUGGCGAGUGGCGAACGGGUGAGUCAAGUAUCGGAACGUGCCCAGUCGUGGGGGAUAACGUAGCGAAAGUAACGCUAAUACAGCAUCCGAUCUAUGGAUGAAAGCGGGGGAUCGCAAGGCCGCGUGCGAUUGGAGCGGCCGAUAAUAGGUGAGGUAGUUGGUGGGGUAAAGGCUGACCAAGCCGACGAUCUGUAGCUGGGCUGAGAGGACGACCAGCCACACUGGGACUGAGACACGGCCCAGACUCCUACGGGAGGCAGCAGUGGGGAAUUUUGGACAAUGGGCGCAAGCCUGAUCCAGCCAUGCCGCGUGCAGGAUGGAGGCCUUCGGGUUGUAAACUGCUUUUGUACGGAACGAAAAGGUUUGACUUAAUACGUUGGACUCAUGACGGUACCGUAAGAAUAAGCACCGGCGAACUACGUGCCAGCCGCCGCAGUAA